AACUGGCAGGUAAAACUUCACGGAGACAUACAGAUGAACCUAUAGCCUGAGCUGUGUGUUAGUCUAUAGAGAGAGCAGUAGCAGCAGCAGCCUGCAUUGUCCCAGGAUGUAUUACAGUAUAUGGGUGCCCCCUAGCGUAUGAUUUUUUUUUGCUUCAAAUAAGAUUCAAUUUAGAGGAGCCAUCCGACAAGGAAACUGCUUCAGUCUCGUCUCUCGCAUCGACCAAACUAACGAGCACCAUUUUAAACUGAUGACUGUUUGUUUAAAUUCUGUUUUACAUGACUUGGACGGCAAAGCUUUGAGAGUUGCCAAAGUUGGAUUUACUUUUUUGCCACUUCAGGCAGUCCCAGCGGUGGUAUUUAGACCAAUUAUGUCUUUAUUCUAAAACAAAUUAGCCGAUUAUAUUUUGUCUGCAUGACUACUCUUGUCGGUUUUAUUUACAGAUCCCGUGAACAUGGAGAGUCUGUAAAUAAAACACUCCGCAAAGGUAUCGACCCAUCGAGGGAGCCAGUUUUGCUUCAAAUGUCCUUCAUGCAGAUAGCAGGAUUCUGACCUGGAGGUCUCCAAGUUCCCGGCCUGAUUAACCCCUCCAGAGCCGAGCAGGAGCAAAGGUUAACCAGGCUAAUCAACUUCAAGAGUCUGAUUGAAUUAGAUGACUGUGGAAUCAGGACAGAAACUUAAUUGUUCCAUUUAAAAAGAAAAAAAAAAAACACAAUGAAGAGAAACCUAUGGUCAUUUUUGACUCAAUUUUAAAAAUAUAAUAAAUAGAGGAAUUAAUUGUAGAUAAGAGAAGAGAUAAUUAAUUUUUUUUAAUAGGCAACAGGUUUCAUCUGUUAUACUUUGAAUAUACAAAACUCUCUUUUAACACCCACAGACAGUUUUUUCCUGCUUGAUAAAGAUCACUUGAUUGAUGGCGGUUGUGCCCCAUAUGUCAUGGCAUUUUUAUCUGCUGCAUUGCAUAAUAUCAAUCAGUACCCUUUAACUCUCUAGUAAAGGUUUUAUCUCUUAUCUCUUUAUAACAGUGCUUCAUGGUGAUGUUGUGAUGCUGCUUAUAUGCAAGAUGAGGGGGGAAAAAAACUAGACCAAUUAGUCAAAUGUCUGCCUGCACAUUUUGCUUCAUUUAGGUAAGGAAUAUUUGCUGACAAACCAUAAUUUGAGUUUCAAUAAGCUACUUUAGACUCAUGUAGUAAAUGAUCACAGGAGGAAAUAUAAUCAAAACAUAAGCAAAAUAUUCUCAUGUAGGGAUAUUGUAAUGUUAAAAUUUUUGUUGUGUAAAAGAUUUUAGGAUAGUGAGAGCGUAAAAUAACCGAUGAUAUAUAUUUUACACAUCCCAGUAAUGUGUGCAUAUUCUUAUAGCACAUAUACUUCUUUGACUGUUUUUUAUACGUAGCUGAAAAGUUAAUUCUUGAGCUUUUACAGACUUUAAUGGUAAAAGUAUGACUUUACUUUUAAAUGAUGUUCCUGUCUUAUUGGCUUCUUAAUAAUAUGAAAUUAUGAAAAAAAGUGCAUUCCAUCAUCACAAUUAAUACCCUGUAUUGGUAAAUGCAUUGGGUGUCUGUAAGUGAUUUAAUUAUAUGCAUACACAUAUAGGCUAUAAAGAGGUACAUAUACACAGUGCGUAAAAAAGGUGUAUAACAUUCACCUUUUUUUUUCCAAACUGUGCCUUCGUGUAAGCAGACAUACACGUUUUAGUCGAGACCGCUGUAUAAAGAGUUCAUUCAGUGCUGUAGAUCACUUUCUCUCUGUCUGCGUGCCCUAAGGGCCACUAUCUAAAAUGGCAACAGAUCCCAGACAGUUCACUGUGUUCAAUUUGCCAAUGAUAGAUUAUAGUGCCAAUUUAAACAGAUAGGGAUCAAUUUGUCUCAAUGAUCACUCUUUAGGCUGACUGCCAGCAUGCUCUUAAUGUAUUUGUAAAUGCUGGUUGUUUGAAUUGUGGCUGUUAUGUUUAAAGUGAUCAAAACCGUGGUAUGGAGAGAAAUGAGCGGUGUAAAUGAUAAAUGAUGUGUUGUUUUGGCUGCUAAAGACUGCAUAGAUGGAGAGUACGUGAUGAUUACUUCAGGCAGCAGCAUUGUAGCAGCAAUGACCAGAAGGUCAAUGGUUUAACUCUGAGGACACACUGGGAAAGUCUAGGAAAGGAGGGGGGCGGAUAGUGUGAUAAGUGCUCUCUAACCCUCAGGAACCACUGCUGAAGUGCCCUUCGGCAAAGCAGCUUAAGCCCCCAUCUGUCCCAGUGGAACCGCACAGCGACCAGUAGUGCAAAACUGCAGUUGUACCGGGCACUUGUGAGAUGUGUCUCUUUGAGUGUGACCUGCCCUCCCUUUUCUUUUUAAAGCGGGAGAGUGGGCUGUCCACUCGACUCGCCUCACACUUUUUUUUUCAUGUACUCAGACAGUGAAAAAAGUUUGGGAGAAGACACAAGAGAGAAAGCUGUGGCAGCAUUCAGUCCUGAGCCAGACAUGGUUCAUAUGUGGCCCCAAAGGCAGCAGACAGUGUAUUGAAUUACUGUAACACAAGGUGUAAUGUGGUAGCAGUGUGGGAUAUGUAAAAACUGCACAAACGGAUGUAGAAGGGGCAUACAGCAGCUUCAGCUUACUAUUUCAGCUAUUAAAUGUUACAUUGUAUGGUUUAUUUGCUUAAAUUUCAGAUAUAAUCAGCUAUAAUAGCAACCAUACUUUCUAUUGUGAUCAUCAAUGUCUCAUUAUUAUCAGAUUUACCAAAUAUAUCAAACUGUAUUGUCAUGUGAAAACCUUAUAUCUCCAGGUAUUAUGAUUUUCAUGUGUUCAUUUUCAUUAAAGACCUUUCUGCUUUGUAGUACAAAGAGAAAACUUCAAACCCUGCCGGAUCAGGUAAUACAUGUCAUGUAAUCAUUGAUUACAUCAAUGUAAUCAUAGCUAGUUUCUUGCUUCUUCAAGAGUUUGGUCACUUUGGAGAUAUACAGGGUUUUGAUGUGACAAAAGGGAGGUGUGUACAAUUAUGGGAUGACCGAUGAAGUAAGUGUCACUGAAUUAGCCAAUUUAGUAGUGCUGUGAAUAAUUGCAAUUUGCAGUGUUACACCUGCCUCAUCCAUGACUAAUAAAGUUUGAAGAUAUCAUAUGA